UGAUAAUAAGAGUCUUGUUGAUUUUCUCCAUGGUUUUGUUUGAUCUAGGUAGAAGGCGAGUGCCCUCUGAACAUCCAAGGUAUAUAGUGCCACCUGAGAUGGAUAGGUGUGCAGUUUGGGACAGAAGGCAGCUGUUUUCAGCAUUCUGGCGCCACAAAGGAGCCACGCCUGGAGGUGAAAUCUCUCUGGAUCAGGAUGGAGAACUCUGACAUGAUUUUGAGUGAGGAUAUUGUUGUGGGGGAAAGGUGUGAGGAUCCACUAUCUUUAAUCUGUACAGUGAGAGUGCAAAAAAACCUGAACAUUUUGGAAAAAAAUGGAAGAAACACUGAGACUGAAGUUCAAAUUAUUCCAGCCUAAGAAAACUCACUUUCUUUCUCAUGAGUGAUCCUUGGUCAUUCUCUUCAAAGUACUGCAACCAUUAUAACUGCCUUUAGAAAGUAUCCAUCAAGAUGGGAUGGAUCUAGAGGAGAGAGGCUGACGGACUGCUUUUUUACUGUGUUCUGAUACCCAUUCCCUUGCUUGUAAAUCUACUGUUGAAUCUAGUUGGAUCAUUACAUUAUGCCAUCCAGGCAUCUGCUACCAAAGGAGUAUAUCUUUGUCCAGCAAUAGAAGCUAUAUUUGGAUUAGAGAGAGAUCAAUUGAAAAAGUAGCAGAUGAAGCAAAGACUUCAGUCCAGAAGUUGACUAAUAAAGCCAUUAAUAUUGAAUACUUACAUGAAAAAACAAGAAGUGUUUGCUAAGACAGCUGGAAAA